GAACUGGCUAGUUAGUUAAUCUAUGAACCAGAACCAGGUCUUCAUGACACUAAAUAUGCUUGUGCCUUGAUCCUGGACUUCCAGCCUCUAGAACUAUGAGAAAGAAGUUUCUGCUGUUUAUAAGAUACCCUCAUUUAUGGUGUUUUGUUAUUCAGAUCGAACAGACUAGGAAAUAGUAUGGAAAACAAAAGCUGCCAGACUUCAGUUUUCAUUUAAUUGGUCAGACCUAUACAACAUAUCUAGCUUCUCCCUAACUGCAGGGAAGGCUCUGAAAAUCAGUGUUUAACUUUUUCAUUGUGGCUGCUUCAGGUGAGAAGGAGACUGGGAAUAUAACUCUUGUGUCACCUAGCCAGUGGGUUCUGCUGCUGUGCCUGAGCUCCCACCACUAUUAAGUGGCAAAGCUGGAAUUCUAACUCAGAUGUCUCUUCCUCCAAAGUCCUAAUUCUCCAGUUCUGCCUCUCAAAGAAUAAAGGCUCCCGUAUUAUAAAGAUUUGAAUGAACAUUAUCCAGCAUCUACAGAUAGGUACAGUUUUUUUCUUGAAAUUUUUCCCUUUUCAAAAUAAAAAAUUUUAUUUACCUUUUU
rnacentral:lncRNA from 10 species